rnacentral:rRNA from 1 species
AUUGAACGCUGGCGGCAGGCCUAACACAUGCAAGUCGAGCGGAUGAAGGGAGCUUGCUCCUGGAUUCAGCGGCGGACGGGUGAGUAAUGCCUAGGAAUCUGCCUGGUAGUGGGGGAUAACGUCCGGAAACGGGCGCUAAUACCGCAUACGUCCUGAGGGAGAAAGUGGGGGAUCUUCGGACCUCACGCUAUCAGAUGAGCCUAGGUCGGAUUAGCUAGUUGGUGGGGUAAAGGCCUACCAAGGCGACGAUCCGUAACUGGUCUGAGAGGAUGAUCAGUCACACUGGAACUGAGACACGGUCCAUGCUCCUGCGGGAGGCAGCAGUGGGGAAUGUUGGACAAUGGGCGAAAGCCUGAUCCAGCCGUGCCGCGUGUGUGAAGACGGUCUUCGGAUUGUAAAGCACUUUAAGUUGGGAGGAAGGGCAGUAAGUUAAUACCUUGCUGUUUUGACGUUACCAACAGAAUAAGCACCGGCUAACUUCGUG